rnacentral:rRNA from 1 species
CCUACGGGAGGCAGCAGUGGGGGAUAUUGCACAAUGGGGGAAACCCUGAUGCAGCGACGCCGCGUGGGUGAAGAAGCGCCUCGGCGCGUAAAGCCCUGUCAGCAGGGAAGAAAAUGACGGUACCUGAAGAAGAAGCCCCGGCUAACUACGUGCCAGCAGCCGCGGUAAUACGUAGGGGGCAAGCGUUAUCCGGAUUUACUGGGUGUAAAGGGGGCGCAGACGGCGAUGCAAGCCAGGAGUGAAAGCCCGGGGCCCAACCCCGGGACUGCUCUUGGAACUGCGUGGCUAGAGUGCAGGAGGGGCAGGCGGAAGUCCUGGUGUAGCGGUGAAAUGCGUAGAUAUCAGGAGGAACACCGAUGGCGAAGGCGGCCUGCUGGACUGCAACUGACGUUGAGGCCCGAAAGCGUGGGGAGCAAACAGGAUUAGAUACCCCAGUAGUC